GAAUGCGGCGGACCAAGCUCACUUCUCGCCGGACUGGUGCCAAUAACUUCCACUCCGCUUCUGGUCUACUCGACAAUGCAAUGGUCUCCCUAUCUCUCUCUCGCUCUUUCGCACUCACGCGUCCGCUCCCCUCAGCCGAGUCGAGUGUACCUGAGUUAGAGGCUACAUUCCAUCGCUGACGGCAGAAAACAUUCCACGCAGAGAAAUCAUUCGCUAGCCACUAGCCACUAAUUCAGGCAUGCUGCUGCAACACAUUUUUUUUCUUCCCUUCUUUUUUUCCAUCCUCUUCUUCCUCCUUUUCGCAUUGAAAUUUAUUUUAUAUAAACUCGCACACACGCUCGAAAUGCAUGCGGAUGAUAUGAUGGAUAUCAUCUUGUUUUCUCCGAGUAUUCGUUCUAUCGCUCCUUUUCUUUUUCAGUUUCGUCUCCUCUAUUUAAAUUACAUAAACGGUGUCCCCGUUCUCCGCACUGAAUUGAACCAUGAACCCAUUCCCCAAAUUGCAGUCGCCAGUUUUUGAAUUACGCAGACCUAAUAAAACACCUACAAAAAAAA